rnacentral:rRNA from 1 species
UACGUAGGGUGCGAGCGUUAAUCGGAAUUACUGGGCGUAAAGCGUGCGUAGGCGGUCGGCAAAGUCAGCUGUGAAAGCCCCGGGCUCAACCUGGGAAUGGCGGUUGAAACUAGUCGACUCGAAUCUGGCAGAGGGGGGUGGAAUUCCACGUGUAGCAGUGAAAUGCGUAGAGAUGUGGAGGAACACCGAUGGCGAAGGCAGCCCCCUGGGCUGAGAUUGACGCUCAGGCACGAAAGCGUGGGGAGCAAACAGG